rnacentral:lncRNA from 1 species
UUCCUCUUUCGUUCACAAUAAGCCUCGGCAACUUACCGGACAACACUCCACAAGUGCACUGAUUCGGACUCAACCUCAGUCUGAGUUGUCUCAACCGGUCAAACAACUUGCCUCGGAUCCACCAGAUGCCCCUCUUCUGCUUGGGACUUUGCUAUCAUGUCAUUAACAUAGCAUUUGAUUCCACGAUGAAUCAUAUCAUGAAACAAAGUCACUCUGAUACGUGGCACCGGCGUUCUGUUUCUCUAGAGGACAG